AAAAUCAUGAGGAUAAUUGAUUACGUAAAUGCAGUGUUUUACCCAGGGCAGGGAAAUCAAGAACUAGAGAACAUAGGUUUAAAAUGACAGGGGAAAGAUUUAAUAGGAACCUAAGGGGCAACUUU